rnacentral:rRNA from 1 species
UACGUAGGGUGCGAGCGUUAUUCGGAAUUACUGGGCGUAAAGCGUGCGCAGGCGGUUUUGCAAGACAGGUGUGAAAUCCCCGGGCUUAACCUGGGAACUGCAUUUGUGACUGCACGGCUAGAGUGUGUCAGAGGGGGGUAGAAUUCCACGUGUAGCAGUGAAAUGCGUAGAUAUGUGGAGGAAUACCGAUGGCGAAGGCAGCCCCCUGGGAUAACACUGACGCUCAUGCACGAAAGCGUGGGGAGCAAACAGG